rnacentral:rRNA from 1 species
UUGUAAAGCCUAAAUACCCUAAUGACAUUGAUCUUGUCUGAUGUUGGAAGCUAAGCAGGGUCAGCUCUGGUUAGUGCUUGGAUGGGAGACCUCCAAUGAAUUCCAGGUGCUAUAGGCU